AUGCAACCAUGGCCUUCUGGGAAUUUUCGACUCACUCAUCCAUUGAGCGCCGACCAGAGCAUUUUGGGCAGCUUAGUUUCUGGGUUUCCACUGAGCAGCGACGGAAGAGAAGGGAAUUCAUCACUCCGUCUGUUUCCCCUAAGUGCUCAAACAAAUUCCUAUGGGGAGUCGCAUGGCCACUCCGUUCUGGGAACACAACUGCUAACUAUGGGCAUGUCAGUGCAUUGCCAGUUUUGGUGUCAAGAGGAUUUUACAGGGAGCGGCCGCGUGGAGUUCCAAAUUAACUCAGCGGUGUUUGCAACUGCAGGAGAUUUUGUGUUCAAACCAUGGCUGCGGCAGUACAAUUUCAGUGGACGCUUCGGAAGGAUACUCACCAACCAGUUCUUGCAUUUGUGGUCCUUGAAGCAUGACAGUGAUGAUUCAGAUUUUACUAAGCAUGUCAAGCUUAUCAUCACUUCCAAACAACAUCACUCUUGUCUUGCUACGGGGUGCGUUCUUGUCUUGCAAGAUCUCAAUGCUGCUCAAUCCACCCUUAAGACUGCGCAGAUGCUGAAGAUAGAGGUGACAGCAGCGGGGCUGCAGCCAGCAAGUCUCCGCGUGAGGCAGUCAUUGCUUGGUACUUACAUCAGGCUACGGCCGACACCGUGGCCAUCGUUUUGGAUGGAUCUUGCUGACGGAAAUGAGCUUAUGACACCAUGUAUUCUUGAGAAGGCUGUUUGCCGGAUCAUCAUGGUGCCAAGAGAUAUUAUUGUUCGGAGCCAGCUGAUUAUGCAUUUUAUGGAUGAUUUGAACUUGGAUACUAGAGAACGGCAAUUAGUUAUCGUGUAUGUGCAGUCCUCCUAUGAGUUGCAUGCUCAAGAUGUACAGUCGAGGUUCAGGUUCAGUCCAGACAAUGUUCACCUGAAGUUGUCAAGGCCAUCUGCUGCUAUUCGUGUAUUCUGUACAGUUCUCUUUGGCAAUCAAUCAAUGCUGCUGCUGCACGACGGGUUAAUACAAGGCAUGCAACUGUCCAAGUCUGUUGACCUCCGGGAUGCAACUCUUUCAAGCAUGCAUUAUGUGAUACUGAACUUGGUCCAGUCUGGAAAACUACUUGUUGCCAACAGUCAGUUUUGGCCUAGAGGAUGGUUGUUUCCGGAGUACCAUAAGAUAUGUCUUUAUUGGCGAAUUUGGGAUCCAGGAUGGAUGUUCUGCUACACUACCAUACUCAGCUCAGGUGAUAUCACUGGUUACUUGCAUCGUAUGAUUCUGUCCAUUUUGAGAAGUUCAGCAAAUUGUACACAGGCCGAGCUAGCACAUGGAUAUAAGUAUUCAGGUUUUAAUUUGCACAUAUCAACUUCUGGGACUGGGAUUGAGUGUCGUUCGUCUAUGUUGUCUACAUUCGGUGAGUCCUUGAUGCAUCUUCAUAGGGCAGUACAACCUAAUACAGUGGAGUGCAAAGAAUUUAAGAGAAAAAAUUGUCCAUGCUUAGGGAUCCAACUGGAGAGAAGUUUGUUGAUACUGAUUGAGUUGGAGAAGUGCACUGCGUAUCUGAAUUCAGGUGCAGUUACACGCCCACUUGCUCAGCAGCUGCAGAACAUCUCUGUGAUUGAGAGUGCAUUCGAGCUAUUGGUGCACAUACUACAUCAAGCGUCACUACUAGGGAAAACCUUAUACACAGAAAUUUAG
rnacentral:rRNA from 1 species